rnacentral:lncRNA from 1 species
GACCAUAGUGGAAAGAUGAAAUCAACUGGAUUUGGUUCUUAGGUGUAAUAAUGGCAUUUUGGUUAUGUAAGAGAAUGUUCUUAUUUCUAAGAGAUGCACACAGGAAUCUUUAGGGAUGAAGGGCCAUAAUGUCUGUAAUUUACUUUCAAAUGUCCAUCAUAUUCAUACACACAUACACAGUAUAUCUGUGAGAUAAUAAGAGUGAAAAGGUAAAUAGCAUCUUAGUAGUAUUAUGAAAAAAAUAUAUAUGGAGAGAGGGAAAGGGGAGAAAAAGCAAAUAUGAGACAAAAUAUUAGCAAUUUUGAAUCUACAUGAAAGCAAUCUAGUAAAUGAUGAAUCAUUUUAGUCUUCUUCCAGCCCUUUCUGUAGGUUUGACAAUUUUCAAAAUAAAAAGAUGGGGAAAAAAUGAAAAGAAAAAAAAAACUUUAAAAAGUCUUGGUAAUCACUGAUUAGAUAUGAGAGAAAGGGAGUGACUUUCUGGUUCCUUGCCUGGCAACAGAGUAGACAGCACUGUCCUUCCCAAGAGGGAAGUGCAAGAGGAGAAAUCGAAUUGGAGGGAUGAUGAGUUCGUUAUGGAGUGUGUGGACUUUGAGGUGCUCUGGGCUCCAACAGGCAACGUGCAACCCUGAAGUUUUUGAGAGGGAAAUGUGGUAAAGAUGCAGACAUGGGUGUCUUUAGAAUCUAGAUGGUAAUGGAAGGUACUGGGGGACCCUGGAGUAUCAAGGGCAUGUGUGGAGAAUGAGAAGAGAUGAGGUGUGAGGAUGAAAUCCUGGCGGACACUGACAUUUCAGGGUCAGCAAAGAAGGAUAUUGGAGUAGACAACUUCCAAGGUGGCCCAUGACACCACCUCUUCACAGGCAGGCUUUUGUGUAGUCAGCCCCUCUCACACUGUAUCAGUGUUGGCCUGUCAGACAAGAGGGGUGGAAGUGAUGGCAUGUCACUCCUGAGAUUACAUCAUAAAAGACAUUGUGGCUUUCAUCUAGGCUUGCUACAUGCUCAUUCUUGUGGAUCCCUUGUUCUGGGGGAAGCCAUCUAUCAUGUCAUGGUAGGCUACAGGGAGUUCCAUGUGGGGAAGAACUGAAACCUCCUCCCAACAGCCAUGUGAGGAAGCUUGGAAAACCUUAGAAGAGUAUCCUUUAAAAAAAAGUUUUAAAUUAAACACAAAUAAAUACAUAAACAGUACAACUGCAAUCUCAUGAGACAUCCCAAGCGAGACAACUCAGGUAAGCCAUUCCACCCAGCUAAAUUGCUCCAGAUUGCUGACCCUAAGAAACUGCGUGAGGCCAGCAACAGAUAACGAACACAGACAAACCUCAAAGGUGAGUUAGAAGGGAAUAUGUCGAGACAGGAGAACCAUGAGCCUGGGAUCUUGAGAAUAUGUCAUGGAAGACAGCCUGGAAUACGGUGGCUAAUACUACUGAAUGGCAGAGGAUUGGAAUUUUCAACAAAGAGUGAUAUUCUUGAAUCCCUUAUGAUUGUGGUGACCCAGCCCGCUUCCUAGCUGGGAUGCUCCUUCAUCUGGUUCUGCCUAACUCACCCCUCAGCCCCCACUGCCUUGGGGCUCACAAUCUACUUAAAAAUUUCGAUAUAGUCACUCAUUUAUUCUACAAACAUUUACCAAAGUCCUUUGAUGUGUCAGCUCUAAGCACUCAAGAUGGAGUGGCAGUAGGAUCCCAACACUUAUAUCUGUCCAGAAUUGGUCAUCAGCUGGCUUGAGUUCUCCCAUUCUGCCUGUGCCUUCCCUUAGCAAGGGAAAGAACAAGAUGGAAGAGAAGGAAAAGGCUUGAUUGAACCAGCCAAUAGAUAAUUAGAAGCUGACUAUUUUGCAAUAAUGCAGCACAACAGCAAUAAAUAAAUCAAUCACUUGGGGGGUGGGGAAUGACUUCCCUAUAAUCAGCUAUUAAAGACUUGUACCACUAAUUAGUCUAUUAAUUAGAACUGUUCUCUUCCUUCCACAUGUUAUCAGCCUGCCAAGGCAGAGAAAACUCAGCCCCGGGGGCAGGAGAUAAGAGAAGUAAGACAUACAGAAGUGGCAGAUUCAAACAGCUGGGCUUGUGUGUGUUUUAAAAGCACAGUUCUUAGUGCCCCGGGCAUAUCCACCUGCUAGUAGGAAAAGAACGUUUAUCAAAAACCAAAAGGCUGUUGUCUUUGUUGAGCAGAAAGGGGAAAAAAAGAUUUAAUCUUUAAAGAGAAAAACCACUGUAACCACACUCAGGGAUCUGUGAAGGGCAGUUCCACUGGGUGUUCCCUACAGCACAGGACACAGUGAGAAAC